rnacentral:rRNA from 1 species
CGGCGAGUGAAGCGGCAACAGCUCAAAUUUGAAAUCUGGCUCUUUAGGGCCCGAGUUGUAAUUUGUAGAGGAUGCUUUUGGCGCGGUGCCUUCCGAGUUCCCUGGAACGGGACGCCUUAGAGGGUGAGAGCCCCGUACGGUUGGACACCAAGCCUCUGUAAAGCUCCUUCGACGAGUCGAGUAGUUUGGGAAUGCUGCUCUAAAUGGGAGGUAAAUUUCUUCUAAAGCUAAAUAUUGGCCAGAGACCGAUAGCGCACAAGUAGAGUGAUCGAAAGAUGAAAAGCACUUUGAAAAGAGGGUUAAAUAGCACGUGAAAUUGUUGAAAGGGAAGCGUUUGCGACCAGACCUUUUCCUAGCGGAUCAUCCGGUGUUCUUCGCCGGUGCACUUCGCUAGGUCGAGGCCAGCAUCGGUUUCUGCAGGGGGAUAAAAGCCCAGGGAACGUAGCUCUUUCGGGAGUGUUAUAGCCCUCCGCAUAAUACCCUUGCGGGGACCGAGGACCGCGCUUUUUGCAAGGAUGCUGGCGUAAUGGUCGUCAACGACCCGUCUUGAAACACGGACCAAGGAGUCGAACAUUUAUGCGAGUGUUUGGGUGUUAAACCCUCACGCGUAAUGAAAGUGAACGGAGGUGAGAGCCCUUACGGGUGCAUCAUCGACCGAUCCUGAUGUCUUCGGAUGGAUUUGAGUAAGAGCAUAACUGUUCGGACCCGAAAGAUGGUGAACUAUGCGUGGAUAGGGUGAAGCCAGAGGAAACUCUGGUGGAGGCUCGCAGCGGUUCUGACGUGCAAAUCGAUCGUCAAAUCUGCGCAUGGGGGCGAAAG